ACAGAAGAAGCUGAUGAAGAUGAUCACAAGGCACUGACUGUGGCACAAGUCCAACCUCAAGGCCAGCUCGCAUUCUGCUCACUCGAAGUGGAACAAAACUCGUUUCGGUUACCUUCUUCAAGCCCUUACGAUGAGUUCUUGAAAGCAGCCGGAUGUUAAAGCCGGUACAUUCUUGAAAAUCUUGCAUGUGUAACUUAUUUAUAGACACACGGCAUAGUGUAUACAUAUAUAUAUUAUCACGUGUAAUCUUGUGCUUCAUCUAAUCUUAAUAUAUUAAAAGAGUGAGUUAGGACUCACAGAGAGAUGACACAUCAAUUUUUACUAAAAUCAUAUUUCUUAUUAACAAUUAAUCAUCAGAUGGUAAAAGAUUUAAGGUCAAAACAAUUGCAUGAUAUGAUUGAUACAAGAAAUCAUUGGUGUUAGUUAGGUCAAUGGAACAACUAAAGUAGACCAAACAAGAACCCAAACUCAUGUCAAACUGUUAAAGAUCAUACUAUAGUAAAAGAUCUGAAACAAAAAAAAAGGCACAUGUAAGUUUGUAUAUUACACUCACAAGAAGUUACUAGACCAAAAACUAUAGAAUGCCCUGAAGUUAUAUGGUUACUCAAAAGUAGAUAAUGAUUCUGAAUGAUUGAGCUUCAAGAGGAGCUCAAGAUCCUCUUGAAAUGUGUUUUAAGUUGAGUAGAUUGGAGUUUGCUGAAAAAUUAGAUUUAUGUGUCGUGUGGAUCAAGCAACAAACCAGAGUACUGUCCAGAGUAUAUACAAUUCAUAUAAACAAAGUAUGGUGACAACCUCCAUCGUCAAAACAGAAAGAAAACGCCUUAAGGUUUGUGUUUCAACCAGUUUUCAUCUAUGAUUCGAAAGAGAAACCUCACAAGACUAUAUGAUCCCAUAAACCCUAGUAUGAUCCAAUAACACUCCCCUUAACUUACUCUAAGAAGUCUACGGAGUCACCUGCAAAGUCAAGAGCAAAGAAGAGGAACCCAUUGAGCCUGAAAGACCAUAGACUGAUGUUAUCUCCAUCUCUCAACUCAUUAGCCUCAACGACGUCACUCCAUGCACCACUCAACAGAAAACUCUGGAGGACUUUCCCUGAGUCAGACACACGAACCCACUUCUUCAAAACCAUCUUCCACUGUUUAUUCCUUUGAUCAACGAGACACGCAGCCACACCAAUCCUCCCCUCAUUAUUGAUCCUCUCGUCUCCAAGAAUCAUCCCCUCGUCACACGUCAAGAAGUCGUUUCUCUUUAGGGUCUGGAAAGGGAUGGAGAGACGGUUUUGUUCUGGAUCCACGUCGUCGAGGUCGAGAGGCUUCUCCGCGAGGAGGAAGGGGUCGUCGGCUAUGUUCAAGUCUUUUUUCAAGCGGCGGAUCCAUUGGGGAGUCUUCGUGGUGGUGGUGUAUUGGUAAACAGUUCGUUUCUUUAUGGGGAGUUUUGAGAGAGGAGGAGGAGGAGGAGAGUGUUUCUUGUUGGGGGGACUUCGAAGGGAUCUUUUUCUUUUGGGGAAGAGGUGGAAGAUUCUCCUCAUUCUCUCUUCUUCUUUCUUGUCUUUGGCAGUUUUGGAGAAUCCUGGAAGGUUCCACAUUAUAUCUUUAUACAAGCUCAUCUCUUCUUCUAAGCUGUGUUGAUUCAAGAAGUUAGGGACCGUCGAGAUGAAGAGGACAAGAAGUGGCUGAGUGAGAGAGAGAGAGGAACUAUCUUGCCGAUUAAUAUAAGACGCGAGGCAAAUUCAGAGUGUUCUUUUUUUUUUUCUCUUGAUUCUUUAAUAUCUCGUCCAAGAAGUUAGUUAGGUUCCCGCUAAAACUCAUCCCCAACGGUCAUAACGGAAACUCAAGCGAGAGAGAGGAGCUAAUCACGUUCCUAAUUGGUCCGUUUGUGUUAUGUUCUACUUCUAGCUCACGAUUGAUACAAGCAUAAACCUAAAGAUUAAAUCGAAUUCGCACAUGUUCAACUUAGAAGGCCUAAUCCCUAAACUCUGUCAACUUGCUCAAGAGAUGGGGGAUAAUGAAAGAUCACUCCGGUUGCGGCCAGGAGGAAUGCAAGCUUUGGCAUUCAUGGUAAUGGUUUACACAAAACAUAUCCUAUAUAUAAAUUGAUAUGUGCAGCAUGUUACUAACCAAUAGUUACUGCCAGGUGUCUUUCAUUGGUGAGCAUUCACAACUAUCAAUGGACUUGGAUUUGGUGAGUCAUCGGUUACUUUAACAAACAGUGAUGGUGCAUUGUUGUUGAUCAUGAACCCUUUUUUUUUCUUUCAUCUUGAAUUAGAUUAUGUGUGUGAUUCUGGAGAAUUAUAUGGAUUUGGAGACCAACGAGGCUGGUGAAAAUUCAAUUCCCAAAAUGAGUAAAUGGGUUUCUUUCAAACGUAAUAAUCCUGUGACUGAGGAAAACAUGUAAGGCUUCUCAAUAACUUUAUUGUCACUUGUUAAAUGCAUCUUUUAAUUGUUAUUUGAUUUAUUUGUUAAAUCCAUUCAGGGAUAAUUCGAAGAGCCCCUCAUACUGGUCUAUGGCCUGCCUUUGCAACAUAGCCAAAUUAGCAAAGGAAACCACAACUCUUCGCCGUGUUCUGGAACCGCUUUUGAAUGCUUUUGACUGUGGAAGUUACUGGUCUCCAGAGAAGGGCGUCGCCUCUUCUGUUUUAUUGUUUCUUCAGUCUCGUCUCGAAGAAUCAGGUCAGAGAUUGAUAUCUAAAUUUCCUUAAAUUUUAACUCGUCUUCUAGGCUGCUACUGACUAAAACAAGUGUAUGGAAAAGCAGGAGAAAAUUGUCAUGUGUUGGUAUCUUCUUUAAUCAAGCACUUGGAUCAUAAGAAUGUAAUGAAGCAACAGGGUGUUCAAGUUAACAUGGUUAAUGUAGCCACAUGCCUUGUGCUACACGCUAAGCAGCAGGCUUCAGGCGCCCUGACUGCUGUAAUAGCUGACUUGAUUAAGCACUUGCGGAAAUGCCUUCAAAACGCAGCUGAAUCUGAUCUGUCUGCUGAUGGAACGAAGCAGAACUCUGAGAUGCAGCAUGCGUUAGAAAAUUGCAUCGCAGAGCUCUCAAACAAGGUUAGUUGGACUGUAUUAUACUUGCCUCCGUCCUACAAAGAUAGAUUUUUUUAGUGUUUUCAUGCAUAUUAAAAAAAAAUACGUUAAAUCGCUAUAAUAAAUAUAUAGUUUUCUGUAGUUUUAAUUUUUAAUAACUUUUAACCAAUGACAAUUCAAUUAAUUCAAUUAAUUUUUUUUAGUUUACAACCUUUUUAUCGAAAACAUUAAGAUUUUUUUAUCUUUUUGAAACAAAUUUUCAAUAACUUUUUUGUUGGUUUGCUCUAAGGUUGGGGAUGCAGGGCCAAUUCUUGAUAUGUUGGCAGUGGUUCUUGAGACGAUAUCAACUAAUGUACUCGUUGCUAGGACCACAGCGUCAGCCACUCUCCGUGCUGCACAUAUAGUAUCAGUGGUCCCAAAUGUAUCUUACCACAAGAAAGUAAGUGAGAUUUUGUUUUUGUUUUACUGAAACUUGCGGCAAUUAUUCUGUUUCUAACGGAUUUACGGUGGGGUGUGUCCCAGGUGUUUCCGGAUGCCUUGUUUCACCAACUGCUCCUUGCGAUGUCCCACGCAGACUGUGAGACUAGAGUUGAGGCGCAUAAUGUAUUCUCUGUCCUGCUUCUUCGUACUCUUCGUUUGCCUUGGUCAGACCAAUAUGAUGAAGCCUCAGAUGGUUGUCUGUCCUUGGAGAGCUUAAAGGAUGUCGAUGAUGGUAUAAAAGUAUGUUUCUUAUGAUAUUAAUUGGCACUUUUCUUAUGGAUUUGAGUGUGAUUUGAUAGUGUGCUUUCAUGCUGUUUACAGUCGUUAUGUUCACUUCGACUGAGUAGUCACCAAGUGAAUAUGCUUCUUUCAUCCCUAUGGAUCCAAGCAACUUCUACCGAGAAUACACCUGCAAAUUUAGUGGCCAUGGCCAGCACGUUUAAUAUCACUCUUUUGUUUUCAGUAGCAAAGGUUAGUUGUAGCCACCAAGUGGAAUAUGCUCCUUGAUUCUUUAAAAUUAAAAAUGAAUUUAAACACUGGAUUUAAUGGUUAUGAACUUUGUUUACGUGAUGGAUCCUCCCUAUGUAGAUGGGAAGGCAUUUUUUGAGUAUGUAAAAUUUUCUCUGAUUUGGUGAUUGUUGCUAAUGGCAGAGAUCAAAUCAUAUGGCUCUGGUGCGGUGUUUUCAGCUGGCGUUCUCUCUUCGAAAUCUCUCAUUGAAUCAAGAUGGUAAGUGAAAGACUAUGUUUAAUGCUCUUGAGUUUGUUUCUGACAUAUAUUUCUGGUAUGAUUCUGAAGGAGGUAUGCAGCUCUCACGUAGAAGAUCCAUCUUCACGUUUGCAUCAUACUUGCUCAUUUUUAGUGCCAAGAUCUCCAAUAUACCGGAGCUAAUUCCACUUGUCAAAGAAUCUUUAACUGCCCAAAUGGUGAGCUUUUGUUAACUAUUGCAUCCGUUUUCAAAUCCCUUGCGUUUGGGUGCUCAGCUGUCUUCUAAUCCGUAUGUGCAAUUCAUCAUGUUCUUAACAGGUUGAUCCUUCUCUUGUGCUGGAAGGAGAUAUCAGACUGCGUGCUGCAUGUUCUGGAUCUCCACAGGAAGAUGAUUGUGCUGCUCUCAACUCCUCAGCGGUUGUCUCAAAUGAUAGUUUCCUGAAGGAAAUCGUUAUCACUCAGUUCACAUCGAAAUUUCAGAUAUUAUCCGAGGUACUUUUCCAGUUUAAAAUGACAAUAAAAUGUAUUCAUUCAUUGUAGUUCUUAUAUUUGGUGGAAGAUGGGUUUGAUCUUAUAGCCAAAUCAGCAGAUAAAGCUAUAUUGAAUAUAAAGAAACCAUGAGUUUAGUACUAAUGCUAUGUUUAGUACUCGCAGGAGCAUUCUAUAUCUUGACCUUUUUCUAAAAAUGUUUUGUGUUAUGCUCUCAGGAGGAGGAAUCAAAUUUGAGAAAGGAAAUUGAGUCAGAUUUUUCGAGAGAUGAGGAUGCACACCCUCUUGGCGCACCAAUGUUCAUGGACACACCAGGAUCUAGUAGUUCUCCUCUUAAUGAAACAGAAGUUCCAGCUUUUGAUGAGGUAAUAAUAAUGACUUCAUUAGAAACUUAAUUACACUUUUUUUGCUUCAGGGAGUGAGAGUUCCUUAAUUGCAAUUGUGUUGGAUCCUUCAGGUUGAGCUUUCAGCAAUAGUGGCAUUUGAAGGAGCUUCUCCGGGGGCUAGUGGGAGUGAGCCUGGCCACAAUAAAUCCUUGUCCACAAACACUAACCCAGCAGAUGUUCUGAGUGUCAACGAGUUGCUAGAAUCGGUAAAUAUACAUACACUUACUUAGUGCUUGUGUGAUCUUUUUUCUUUUAAAUGUAAUUCUUCUUAAUUGUUGGUGUGUAGGUAUCAGAAACUGCUAGGCAAGUUGCAAGCCUCCCUGUUUCCUCCAUCCCUGUACCUUACGACCAAAUGAUGAAUCAGUGUGAGGCUCUUGUGACGGGUAAGCAUCAAAAGAUGUCCGUGCUUCGAAGUUUCAAACCUGAGGCAACCAAAGCUGUAACUCUCUCAGAAGAGGAUGAACUCUUUCUUCUAGAUGAGGUGAGAGAGAGUCUGUUCUUCAACUGUCCUCCCAUCAAACUUUAUAAUCUCCUUUUGGUAUUCAUUUUUGUUUUCCUUGUGUGUUACAGACAGAAGAAGCUGAUGAAGAUGAUCACAAGGCACUGACUGUGGCACAAGUCCAACCUCAAGGCCAGCUCGCAUUCUGCUCACUCGAAGUGGAACAAAACUCGUUUCGGUUACCUUCUUCAAGCCCUUACGAUGAGUUCUUGAAAGCAGCCGGAUGUUAAAGCCGGUACAUUCUUGAAAAUCUUGCAUGUGUAACUUAUUUAUAGACACACGGCAUAGUGUAUACAUAUAUA
rnacentral:lncRNA from 1 species